CGCACAUUGCGCCCGCCGGUAUCCCGGCGGGCAUGCCUGUCCGAGCGUCGUUACAACGCCCAGAUCUCAUCUGGUGUUAAGGCAUCUGAGUUUCCACAUGGAGACACUAGAGCCUUGGAAGCUAGCGGCGGCUUGCGUACAGCCCGAGCGAAGUUAUUUUACUUUAGGGUAUCAACGCUAAGGGUCUGUAAUCAAGUCUUGCCGAAACCUUUUUUUCGUAACAGCUCGACCUCGGAUCAGGUAGGAAUACCCGCUGAACUUAA
rnacentral:misc_RNA from 1 species